AUGUUGGCCGGGCGACGGUUGUCCCGGUUUAAGCGUGUAGGCUGGUUUUCCAGGCAAAUCCGGAAAAUCAAGGCUGAGGCGUGAUGACGAGGCACUACGGUGCUGAAGCAACAAAUGCCCUGCUUCCAGGAAAAGCCUCUAAGCAUCAGGUAACAUCAAAUCGUACCCCAAACCGACACAGGUGGUCAGGUAGAGAAUACCAAGGCGCUUGAGAGAACUCGGGUGAAGGAACUAGGCAAAAUGGUGCCGUAACUUCGGGAGAAGGCACGCUGAUAUGUAGGUGAAGUCCCUUGCGGAUGG
rnacentral:rRNA from 1 species